rnacentral:rRNA from 1 species
UUGAACGCUGGCGGCAUGCUUUACACAUGCAAGUCGAACGGUAACAGGCCUUCGGGUGCUGACGAGUGGCGAACGGGUGAGUAAUGCAUCGGAACGUACCCAGAGGUGGGGGAUAACGCAGCGAAAGCUGUGCUAAUACCGCAUGUGAUCUGAGGAUGAAAGCGGGGGACCGAGCAGCAAUGUUUGGCCUCGCGCCUUUGGAGCGGCCGAUGUCGGAUUAGCUAGUUGGUGGGGUAAAGGCCUACCAAGGCGACGAUCCGUAGCUGGUCUGAGAGGACGACCAGCCACCCUGGGACUGAGACACGGCCCAGACUCCUACGGGAGGCAGCAGUGGGGAAUUUUGGACAAUGGGCGCAAGCCUGAUCCAGCAAUGCCGCGUGCGGGAAGAAGGCCUUCGGGUUGUAAACCGCUUUUGGCAGGAACGAAACGGUGUCCGCUAAUACCGGGCGCUAAUGACGGUACCUGCAGAAUAAGCACCGGCUAACUACGUG